AUCUGCAGCCCAUACUACCCCGAACAUGCCUGAUCUCAUCUGAUCUCAGAAACUAAGCAGGGUCGGGCUUGGUUAGUACUUGCAUGGGAGACCAACUGAGAAUACCAGGUGCUAUAGGUU
rnacentral:rRNA from 1 species